rnacentral:rRNA from 1 species
UCAAAGGAAUUGACGGGACCCGCACAAGCAGCGGAGCGUGUGGUUUAAUUCGAUGCUACACGAAGAACCUUACCAGGGUUUGACAUGCAAGUGGUAGGAAACUGAAAAGGGACCGACCCUUCGGGGAGCUUGCACAGGUGCUGCAUGGCUGUCGUCAGCUCGUGUCGUGAGAUGUUCGGUUAAGUCCGCUAACGAGCGCAACCCUCACUGUGUGUUAUAUGUGUCACACGGGACUGCCGGUUUUAAGCCGGAGGAAGGUGGGGAUGACGUCAAGUCAGCAUGGCCUUUAUAUCCUGGGCUACACACACGCUACAAUGGUCGGUACAGAGGGCUGCGAAGCCGCGAGGUGGAGCGAAUCCCAGAAAACCUGUCUCAGUCCGGAUUGAAGUCUGCAACUCGACUUCAUGAAGGCGGAAUCGCUAGUAACCGCGAAUCAGCAGGUCGCGGUGAAUACGUUCCCGGGCCUU